rnacentral:lncRNA from 1 species
GAUAGUCGCAUUCGGAAGAAAGUCGAGUAGAACAAAAUAUUGAUCGAACUUCCAUUAUCGAUGAGAAUUUUUUUUACAUUAUAAUUGGCUAUUGUUGCCGAGACAACAACAGUGUCGUCAUGGGGAGUUUGGAUUCCCCGAGCAUCUUCAUCCGUAAAGGUGAUUACAUUAACUUGGCGCAGCUUUUUCGUCGAUUCCCCUGCGGCAGGCGUCCCCCGAUCCGCUCGUUUGGAGAUCAUAUUGAUGACCCCGGCCGUUGGUUGGUUGUUCGCCGCUUCCUCAGUCGGUUGGGGUCGUCGGUCGGGGAUGGGUC